CCAAGGUUUUCAUGUUACACUUCAUCUGCCACGAGGAGCUCAGUCAGGACACAGACAGGUACUGACCACUUAAGCAAGUGCACUGGUCACUUUCAGAUAAAUUUUGAAUAAGGAAGAGAGCACGGGAAAAUGCAGGGAGAACUGGUUCAGAAGCUCCACGAAGAUAUUUGGAUUUCCAAAGACCAGACCCCAUGAAGUGGCUUUCCAGGUGGGAACUUGACAGAGCAGAGGCAGAUUAGUGGCACUUCUGGGUCUGAGAGGAAAAGGUACGAAGUGCACCUGCCGCACAAAGACAGACCACGGUCCCUCUUCAGACGGCUUCUGGCCACUUGAGUCACUGAAACUUCCCUGAGCAGCACAAAUACCUCUGAAACACCUUUACCCAUGGGUAACACUCAAAACACUGAACGACUGGGAUGGCCCGAGCCCUGAAUAAAGCUGGA